rnacentral:lncRNA from 1 species
GAGACUUUCUCAGUUUUUGCAUCGCAUGUGAGGGUUUGUUGGGUGCUCCUAAACCCUCAUCAUGGUCAUUCUUCUUGGCUGGGCUGUUGAUUUAAUUAGGAUUUAUUAGGAGAAAAACCUUCCCGGAAGCUGCAGAAGGACAAAUACAGAAUCCGUGUCUGGGAGAAACCUCGUGGCCUGGUCUCCAUUAUUUGAGAUGAGUUACAUCUUGGAGGUGAGGACGUGCCUCGUGGUCUAAAGCUUCGGCACAAGGGCCCAACUGGAAUUCCACUUACGGGACCAUAGCUGUCUGCAGUGCAGGAAGCCAACUAUUAAGGGGAAACAAAAGUGUUCUUAGGAGUCCUGCUGUCACUGUGGAUUGAGCCGGUGAAGCCCUGAGGGAUUUCAUCGCUGAGGUGGAUGGAGAAGCAGCUGGGGGCCUUGGCUGUAAGGACCCCUAAGGGCCUGAUCUUUUGGCCAGAAGGAGAUUAAAAAGAUGCCCCUCAAGAUGGCUGUGCCUGUCAGCUGCAUGGAGCUUCGUUCAAGUAUUUUCUGAGCCUGAUGGAUUUACAGUGAUCUUCAGUGGUCUGGGGAAUAACGCUGGUGGAACCAUGCACUGGAAUGACACACGCCCGGCACAUUUCAGGAUACUAAAAGUGGUUUUAAGGGAGGCUGUGGCUGAAUGCCUCAUGGAUUCUUACAGCUUGGAUGUCCAUGGGGGACGAAGGACUGCAGCUGGCUGAGAGGGUUGAGAUCUCUGUUUACUUAGAUCUCUGCCAACUUCCUUUGGGUCUCCCUAUGGAAUGUAAGACCCCGACUCUUCCUGGUGAAGCAUCUGAUGCACGUUCCAUCCGGCGCUCAGCUGGGCUUGAGGACUUCGCAGGUGAGCAGUAACGGAAAUCAGCCCCGUUUAUUCCUCCCAGCACCUGCCUUAUCCAACUCCCCACGCUGUGGCUGAGUCCCAGCCUGCUAUGGAAGCAUCACUGGACUCCCAUUGAACUCUGUGCAGAUUCGCUGUUCGUAGACAUGGUACCUGAUGGACACCAAGCUACGUACAGCUUCAAGGCCCCUUCUUUCUUUGCUAAUAAAAAAUAAAAAAUAAAAACAUAAUACACGU